GAAAAGCACUAUAUAAAUGCAAUCCAUUAUUAUUAUUAUUAUUAUUAUUAUCUUGGAAAGACUACAUCUGGCCCCCUUAAGUUCAAUUACCAGUGAACAUGGUAAGUAAUAAGUAAUGGUAAUGUGAACAUUUCUUUUUCACUCUGACUUGAGUGAAAAAGAAUCAUUUUUUCAGAGGGUGCAUGUCUUUGCAAAUAAAAACAAGUACUGACUGUAUUGUUUUUGUUGCACAGAUUAAAGUUAUUGUUAGUGUCAUGGUCUGGGUGAGUGCCUGGAAAUUUCCACCAGGCUCCUGAGGCUCCUUGGAUCUGCCCAUGGGCAGGGCCACCACAGCUUCACUCACCUGGAGCUAACUGAGUCAAUCAGGCUUAAGCUCUAUGCUGACGUUUCUUUGCCAGUUCAUCAACUACUUGAUGUUGGUACUACUUGAUGUUUCAUGUUUACGCUCUCAAAAAUGUUAUGCUUAUGCUGUUUGUCUUGAGCUGCAGGACACUCCACGGUGCAAACACUCACCUCUUUGAUUCUGUCAGGGCUCAGAGGCCCGUGGCAUGGAAUGGACUCAGGUGCAGAACCAAAGACCGGAAGCUUGAAGUGAUUUGCAAAAACACAAACUUUUAUUUACAAGUGUUCCUAACAGAAAUAUUCAAGACAAAAGACAAGAUUAAGCUUUGUGCAAAAGCGUGGCGUCUGUGAGGUGCGGGGCUAGGGCGAGCAUGGAACAGUCAGGUCACUAAACUGCUGAGACUGGAUUGGGUCUGGUGGAAACUGUGGCAGACCAGGGUACUGAAACGUAGGAGAGGAAAAUCAGAACAGUCCAAGGAGUUGUGAGUGUUUCCCCAUUUGACAAGCUGGAAUGGCUUAUGUGUUUGCUGGCGGGGAUUAGCUGGAGGUGGAGGCGAGGUCCAGGUGGAUACUGAGUCUCCCAUAUAGGUGUGCAGGGAGGCAGGCAGGUGAGAAUGGCAGUUUGUCUGAAAAGGAUUAAGCAGCAGCUGACCGGAAUCCAGAAGCAAGGCUAUGGCAGGGUUUGGAAUGACGAGUCCAGGUACCGAUGAGGUUAGCAGACGAUCUGGCGAAGACUCAUUGUGUGCGCUGCUCCUAAAUACUGCCAGAAUAAUUGCCUGCAGCUGAGGAACGGGGAGGGACAGGAAGGGCUCCACCCAGAGGAGAGCUGAUGCUGUGCAAAGUUACUCAGGCUCGCCCAGACCAUGACAGAUUCUGGCUUCACACUGGCUCUCUGGAAAUCUCUGUGCCUCAACUGCCUGCCCUCUCGCCACCUCGGAAUCAACGGAACCCAGGUCAGCAGUCUCGCCUCCUUGAAUUCUCCUGGACUCACAAUCCUCUCCCUCAACACCUCUAUCACUUCUCCUGCAAGUAAGCUGGGAAAAUCUGUCAUACUCACCUUCUCCGAAAACCACCUGGACUCUCGUUCUAACUCUGUUCACCUCUCUCCUCAGUGUGACCAGUACAUACCUGCCACACUCAAGUUGACCUUGCCGUCCUAUUUCCCUGGUUGCUCACCGCCACCUUACCACACCACGUUAGCCAAGCCACUGUGUAUUUGCCACUGCUAAGUGUACCCUUGUAUUACCUUGUUGAAACGUUAUUUUUGCCUCCACUCUGGGUUACUGCGCUUUAGUUCAGUUCAAGUUACCAUAUGACUGGUACUAUCAAAAAGUUAACUUCUUCAAUUGUCCGUUAAGCGGGAUCACCUCAUUUGGUUUUAAAAUUAGCAUUUGAUGCUACAUUGCUAUGGUUGCAAGACACAUGCUCACAAAUUCGUUGUGUUACGCGGGUAUUUGACUCUGGCGGUGCAGAUUUUAAAGACUGAAUACCUGUAAGAAGUUAUCUAUAGAAUUUACCCAAUAAAUCUGAGGUAACAAUUUGCAUUGACUUUUUUGGGGUAGAUUUAAGUCAAUAUAUUGUGUAUAAAAUACUUAAUUAAAUUGGGUAAAAUUUACCCCAUAUUUACGUAUAUAUUCAACAGCUACUUACUCAUUGAAAUUAGGUAAAAUUAAUUAUAUAAUAACUAAUAAAAUGUAAUUAUUAUCAGUUGAUAAACAUUACCUAUUCAUAUAAGAUAAAAUGUACCCCCCAAAAAAGACAUUCAGAUGGUUCAUCAUCUCAAUGUUUUUAUUACAUAAAAACACAGAAUAAAGUGCAACACAACAGCUAAUGCACACAACACUUUCAAAGGCCACUUAGUCCAUUUUAAAAGCCAAAAGCACAGAAACUCUACAGGUUGUUUCUGUGCAUGUACGUUAUCAAAAAUAUGGAUAGAUAGAACAAAACACUAACACCAACAUUCAAUCUGUGUUUGCUGUCAGCAGAAAAAAUACAGCUCCAUCAAGCUAUGUCUGGACAAAAGAUUCUCUUGGAACAAGAGGGGAAACGUGUGUGCAUUGCACAAGCUUAUUUUUGAGGCCGUGGACCUUUUUCAGUAGUUUGGCCCCGUCAAGUUCCAAAAAAUGUUUUUGAUAAGUAUCAAAUGUGUUCUUCAGCUCCUUCGGAUAUUCGAGGUUGAGGGCAUAUAUCAGUCCCAUCAGCAGUACACAUGCCUUUGUUCGGCUUCCACAUCCCUCCAUCACUUGGUUUCCCUCAAUCACAGUGGACACAUCUGAUGGAUCCUCCUCAGCCAUGAUGUUGUGGAUCACGAUCACCUUCAUCAUAUUGUCUGUAUAAUCCUCACAUCCCUACGUGUUAAAAAGAAAGAAACAAAAAGCAUACACAUGUUUUAUUUUAUUUAAGAUGCUUUUUCAAUAUAUUUCAGUUUAUCUAAAGAGGGGAGUGGACAGAAGAUGAAUGGAGAAGGGGAGAAGAACAUUAGGAUCCCUUGAGUUAAUAAGUAAACUGUUAUCAAUAUGACAAACCUGGCAAUCAUGAAAAAGCUGCUUGCUAUGAGGCUCGGGACCAGCACUCCUGUUGUUGGACAGAAAGACAUCAACUCAGUGACUUGAGAUAUGACUGCAUUAUGCUGUUGCUGGUGACUCCAGUUAAUUCUACAAGACAUGCUGUGACACCAGGAGAGAUGAGUCCUCCGUCACAGAUGGUGUGGUCAGUGAAGAUGGUCGCCUGCAGGUUCAAGCUCAUUGCAUCUCCACCCCACAUCCACUGCCACUGUACUUAAGGGAAGUUAAAGACUUUCUUCUGCACCUACAUUUGGAUCACCUCGAUCCAAGACAGUCAUUCAGGCAGUAAUGCCUGGACUGGAAACAAGCAUCCUUAAAGUAUUACAACAUUCCAGCUCCUGUGUUGGAAUGAAAAACAAAUGUGUUGUUUAAAUCAGAGACGGCACUUGUGACAGAACAACAAAUAUUUUAUUUCGGCUAUAUAAGUAAUGUAAGUACA